rnacentral:rRNA from 1 species
UACGGAGGGAGCUAGCGUUGUUCGGAAUUACUGGGCGUAAAGCGCGCGUAGGCGGCUUUGUAAGUUAGAGGUGAAAGCCCGGGGCUCAACUCCGGAAUUGCCUUUAAGACUGCAUCGCUAGAAUUGUGGAGAGGUAAGUGGAAUUCCGAGUGUGGAGGUGAAAUUCGUAGAUAUUCGGAAGAACACCAGUGGCGAAGGCGACUUACUGGACACAUAUUGACGCUGAGGUGCGAAAGCGUGGGGAGCAAACAGG